GUCCCCUGGUGGCAACAGGAAAUGUUUUUUUUUUAUACGUCUUACACUUUGAUUUACUUGUCGUAGGGCCUUCAUCAGGUCAACUUAAAAAUUACAUGAGUCUCCUCAAGACAACAUGAAGAUGUAAAGUUAUCAAAAAAAACACUUUUCACCACACCGUCUGACCGUGGCGUGCCCUUAAAAUUUGAUGAAUAACAUUAAAACACGGCCUUCUGUAUCUUGGACAUAUUUUGUCCAAUCGAGUCCAAACUAUACACAUAAGACAAGAGUCGCGAUCGGAAGACAUCUACCUAGAAAUCAUGACUUAAAAGGACAGCGCCCCCUGGGGGCAUUAGGAAAUGUCUUGUUUUGGUAGGUGUUACUCUUUGAUCUAUUUCUCCCCAGCCACUGUGCUAAACCAUGUCAAACUUUGUCACAUGGGUCUCAAGAUAUUGAUAAUGUAGGCAUAAUAUUACUGUGACUUUUCAUCAUGCGGAUUGUUAAUGGCGGGGCAUCAAAGUUCAUCAGCUCACCAUGACAAACGAAAUUCAUUUUAACGGAGUUACCAUGAACGCAUCAUUAGACCGCAUUGUUUUGGUCAACUCACACCUGGAGUUAUUUCUAUUCAGCCACUUUGCGAAACCAUUUCAAACUGUGUGAAAUGGGUCUCAAGAUAUUGAUAGUGUAGGCAUAAGAUUGCUGUGACUUUUCAUCAUGAUGAUUAACUGCUUGGCAGCUGAGGUCAUCAUCUCGACAUGAAAAACGAAACGCAAUUUAACACAGCUGCAAGUGAACGCAUCAUGACAAUCUCCUUCAGUAAGAGCUGAGUCUGUGGUGACGGUCCACUCACACAUCGAAUCAGUAGCACAGUUUGCUGUUCUGCUUGUUCAUCUGACGGACACGUAAAAGGCGACUGCUCUCUCGUUUCUGUGGAUGUCCAGCGUGAGACACAACUUGAAUCCAACCAGACUGAACACUGACUCCAGGGACGGACGAGCCUGAAGGACACAGCUGUGAUGACCAAUUGACCAUGUUUUGUCUCUUAUGGCAAAGCAGAAAUAUUAAACACUGGGUUCUUAUCUAAAGUGUAUCAAAUCAGAAAGCAAAAGAUACACAUUGUUGUUAUAAGUUUUUAUUAUUUUAACCAACCAUAAUGAAGAUAGAAAUGAAUUCUUAUCCAUGCCACUUAGCAAUGACUGCCACCACCAAACAGUUGCAGGCCAUCUUUAUUUAAGGGAGGAAUUUAGAAGUGUUGUGUAGCUUCUGAUGAUGAUGCAGUCGUCCACGUGUUGACCACCAUGUUGCUGCUGACGACGUCAGGUGCUGCAGUUCCUCAUCUAUGAAGAGAAGAAACGCACUGUUAAAGAAUGUUUUGAGUUGUGUAUGAAGCACAACAGAUUUCAGAUAGAACCGUUGUACUGUGGUCUGGGUUUGUAUCCUAAUGGUUAAAUGCACAUAUUUUAAGUCGCUUUUGAUAAAAGUACUGAAAGAAAUACAACAUUGUAAAAAUAGAUAAAAUGUCUUUCUACCUCAUCUGUAAUAUUGAAGGUGAUAAUCUCCCACAGAGCUAUUGAUAACAGUCCACAUCAAGUCUCUCCACUUCCCUCAGUGUGAAAACAUAAUUAUAUAAUUAAUUUGAGAACUGUUUACAACACUGAUGUGUGGAGAUUAAAAUCAUAUCUAAACUGUCUAAUUCACUGUAAAACUCCAUGACAUUCGCAGGCCAUCUGUAGUUAAGGGAGCAACGUAUGGAGUGAUGUGUAGAGGGCAGAAACUUGGACUAUGGGCAGAGAAGGUCUCUGGUUCGUCUCCGGUUCGACUCCACGGAGAGACAACAAAAGACAAACCUGGAUUGAUCUGUCCAAAAAUCCAAGAGUCUCCCUACCCUCUCUAGUGCCCCUGAGCAAGGCACCUCACUCCCCCAACAUCUGCUCCGUGAGCGCCGUACAUGGUCGCUCACUGCUCUGUGUGUCCUGCACCAGAUGGGUAAAAAGCAGAGAUUAAAUUUCCCUACCUGCAUGAGUGUGCCUUUGCAUGUCUGUGCAUGUGUUUGGGACGAAUAAAUGGAUCUUAAUCUUAAUCUUUUAAUCUUAAUCAGUUGUCUUCCAGUUGACCAGCAUGAAGCUGCAAAUCUCCACCAUGUUGCUGCUGAGGACAUCAGGAGCUGCAUUAAUGAGGAGCAGAAGCGCACUGUUAUGAAUGUUUUGUGUUGUGUAUGAAGCACCACAUAUUUCAGAUAGAACCGAUGUACUGGGGUCUGGGUUUGUAUACUAAUGGUUAAAUACACAUACUUUAAAUCGCUUUUGAUAAAACGUGAGAAAGAAAUACAACAUUGUACACAUAGAUAAAAUGUCUUUCUACCUCAUCUGUAAUAUUCAAGGUGAUGAUCUCCCACAGAGCUGUUGAUAACAGUCCACAUCAAGUCUCUCCACUUCCCUCAGUGUGAAAACAUAAUUAUAUAAUUAACUGGAGAAGUGUUUACAACACUGAUGUGUGGACAUUAUAAUCUUAUCUAUACUGCCUAAUUGACUCUACAACUCCAUGACAGACUAAAUUAACGAUGUGAAAAUAGUAAUGGUGGAUAUAUCAGCCUGUAUCAGAAUAAUGGUGAAACAUAGUUAUUAUCACAUGCAACUUACACAUGUAGCGUAUUGAUAUUAACUUAUUAAAAUAAAACAAAGUCACAGCCAAA